AGCUUUGCGCAGACGCAGUGUCGCAUGCGAUGACGUUUAGCGGAGCAGCGACUAUUGCUAUUUGAAAACUCUUGAAGUUCCGUUUAUUGAGAGUGUACUGUAGUAACUGUAUCAUUUGUAAUUGAAUAUUAAUUUCUUGAUU
rnacentral:snRNA from 1 species